GCUCGGUUGGGCGCGUCGAAACAAAGGUUUUUUUUGUGACCUCACGCUGCACGGUAUGACCUAGCCUGCAGCGCAUGAGGGCAACAACUAAAUGGGUUCUAUGAACCUUGUUGUCGCAAUUACCUAGUGUUGCGCCCAGCGAGACACAUUUCAUUGGAUCAAAUCUUCCAUCUUGCCUUAAGCCAAUAUGCUCGCGAUGUCCCGAAGUGCGGAAAUUACUUCUUUGACAUUGUUCCUGUCAGUGGCAAUGUUAGUGCAGGCAAGGUGGUAUAACCCAGUUCCUCUCGUAAAUGGCAGUUGCAUCAUCAAUACGACUGAAGUUCCUCUCGGUACUUCUGUUGACCUCAGCGACCCCUGCGUGUGUUUGUACUGCAAUCGACUUAAUAUGACUCAUGGCGAUUUAGUAACCAUUACAUGCGUAAGUGUGGCCGCCAGGCCACCCUUCAAAGUCGUGCCCGGUGGAGUUGGGGUCUUUCCGGACUGUUGCCCGAGGAUAAUUUGCGACGACAACUUCCCAUCCUCUUGGUAUGCUUGAAGCUGCAGAGGAUUAUCGGACUCGUUUUUUCUUUCAUUGUCAAACAUAGAGAAUGUACCGUGGCGUUUCAUAACACAUGCUUUCUCACCUAACAUAUCUCUGCGAUGGAAGUACUGCACGUGGUAUUCCGUUCAGCGUUCCGAAUAACCAGCACAAAAAUCCAGCAACUAGUGUUCUUUGUGGCCCCAGUUUUGUAAUUGUUAACUUAUGGAAAGUAAAUAAACAUAUUAACAUUUACGUGUAGGUAAAAUAUUAAAGCAAUAAAAUUUUAUAA
rnacentral:lncRNA from 1 species